ensembl:lncRNA
AGAAAGUAAGACGACGAGGAAUAAGACAAGAAGGUGCUCAAAGAGGACCGAAUCUGACAAAUGAGAUCCGCGCAACACUGGUUGACCACGUUGUCAACCACGGCCUGACGACGCUGGACUGCGAGUACAGCCAAAUCUAAGCAGAUAUACGGUGGCAAGUGUGAGAACAUUUCGACUGGAAAAUAGGUAUUGCAGAAAUCAAAAACAUCUGCACGGUUUCAGUAACUGCUUACAGUACUGUAUUCUAUGCACUCUCAGCACUUCUGUUACCUUUUCCUGUGAAAUUACUGUACUAUUGUAUACUGGGAGUUUUUUCUACAUAGGAUUGAGGGUCGGGGACAACAAGGGGGAAGGCCUCCUAUGUUCACAGAACAGCAAGAGAUGGGCAUUCAACUACGCCAUUUUCAACGAUUUCCAUCAGGUCUCAACAUCAACACUGGCACACAUCCUAAAAAAUAAACCUAUUCAAAUGAAGCAAAUUUAUAGAGUGCCUUUCGAGCGCAAUUCCGAAAGGGUGAAACUACUGUGGCAUGAUUAUGCAGAGGUAUGUAUUCACUUUAGCAGUGUGAUCUUGCAUACUGUCAGUCUUUUACAGUACUGUAAUAUGUAUACUAGAUCUACACUGAACUACACAAUUUUGCCUGACACUGUUUUUCAGAGUUUUACGAAUGGAUGGAGAGGAGAUCCAGCAUGAGUUCAUUUACGUAGAUGAGGCUGGGUUCAACCUGACGAGAACACGAAGGAGGGGAAGAAACAUCAUUGGCCACAGGGCUAUAAUCAAUGUCCCAGGGCAACGUGGGGGUAAUAUAACACUGUGCAGCUAUAACACAGAAUAGGGUUCUCCACCGCCAUGCCCAUAUGGGCCCUUACAUUACAUUAUUACAUUACAGGUAACCAUUCUUUGACCAAUUGCACAACAUAACAGCAUCAAAUCGAUCAUAUGCAAUACAUUGUUGUCUGGGACAACGUGUCUUUCCACCGCUCUGCUCUGGUUCAGAACUGGUUUCAGCAACAUCCACAUUUCACUGUACGAUAUCUUCCACCAUACUCUCCAUUCCUCAACCCUACAGAAGAGUUUUUCUCUGCCUGGCGGUGGAAGGAAUGUGAUCUCCGUCUCCAGGCUGAGGUACCCCCUCAUCCAAGCCAUGGAGGAGGCCUGUGACCAGAUGGAGGGUUCUGUGGGUGGUGGUUGCAUCUGAUGAUGGUUGUCCCUGC